rnacentral:lncRNA from 1 species
GGUGUGUGCGUGGAGAUCGACCAGGAGGUGCUCCUAUGGAGCUCAAACCCUAAACUCAACAAAUCAUCAAAUUGAAGCUUGAUUCAAGGCUAAAAUCGAUGCAUGAAUACAUAGAAACGAUCACCUAGUCGUGGGGAUCAUAAGGUAUGUCAUAAAACCUAGAUUGGUUAAAGUUGAAAAUUUAGACAAUUAGGGUACUUGCAAAUAGAUGGUUGGGUUAUGAUCCAAAGUCGAAAUUGAAUGUCUAUGUAUGUUUAAUUUCGUUAGUUAGGAUGAUAUUAUGAAAAACUUGAUGUAAUAUUACUUGAAGAUGAUUAACAAGUAAACUAGAAAGUGGGUUUUGACUAAAUAGUGAAGGUGAUGAUAUGUUUGUGCUAGAAAUCAUCAUAAAUGAUAGUUGGAGUAAGACACUUGAACAAAUUGCAAGAUUGAGUAUUUGAUCAUACAUGAUAGAGGAUGAAUAGUUAUGAACUAGUUGGUAAAGGUGUAAAAUUAUGCCCAUUAGGUGUUUGUUAAAAUGCCAAAACGAAAGCUAAAUUGUUGAAAUUUCGAGUGAAAUGCACAUUUGAAUAAUAUGGCAAAUUAUGCGAAAUAUGAAACGAUAAGAGUUCUAAAUAUCAAAUUGAUUUAGACUUAAUUGUGUAAACCAUGUGAUCGAAAGUAGUUAACUUUUGAUAAGUUAAGUUAACUAAUUAUGAAGUCGAAUAGUAGUUCGACAUAGAAAAUAAAUAAGGUGGAAUAGCCACGAUUUUUAUGACUGAUCUAACCGCCUCGUAGAUGUUUACAAUAGUUUGACGCUUAACGAGCUAGGUGGAGGCUUGGGAAAGAAGCGGUCAAACGAAUCAAGUACGAGAAGAAAUGCGUAAACCGGAUGAGAGGUAAGUAAAGCUUACGCCCCUUUUUAUUUACAAAAUACUCAUUUGCGAAUAUUGCAUAUGAACAAGGUGAUUUAAGUAAUUGAAGUAUGAUGUUCCGCGCAAAAUAUUACGGGUCGGAACAAAGGAAAAUGGUAAGAAGCCAUAAAUUAUGCAAAAAGGGUAAAACGGUAAAUAGUCAUGUUUGGGUAAUAAUGGUAAAAUAGAAAUCCGGACACGAGUUGACUGUUAGAUAAAAAGCUUUGAAAAGACACCAUAUGGCGUAAAUCAUAACAGGUCAAAUGGUAACGUUAACACCAUUUGGCAAGUAACGACUAAUAAGUGCUUGUCGAGUAUGACGCUCACAGGGUAAAACGGCAUAUGGGAUUUCGCAUUUGCUAUGUAUUAGCAAAUUAUUGAGGCAAGGUAUUAAUCGGGUCUAUAUUUUGACUCGAGCCAGGUACGCAUAGCUAAGAUUAUAGUUAAACACACUAUUUGGUUAAAUAUUUAGCGAAAGUCCUUUGUCAUAAGAUGAUGGACUAAAGUUGACCAAAACGCCCUUGAUUAACAAACCGGGCAAACGACCUCUAAAGGUUAUUUAGUAUUAACCUAAGUAAGUCUUUGGUAAAUGCAUGUGUUAAUUUCAUAAUCCUUUUGGGUCAAACGCCCAAAAAUGGACCUUUCUGUAAAAGUUGACUAACCGAAGGGUAGACUUCGGAAUAGUUAGAUUACGAUAGUAAAUCCAACACAAAUGUAGUUGCGGUGGAAGGCAAAUAGACAUCCUAAUGUGGGAAUAAGAUGCUAAAAUAAAUGUGACAACCGGUAAUUAACGUCUUCUAGUUACGUGAUUAACAAACGUUUAUACGAUAAUAAAUAGGGUUUAAGACACGAAUUAACUUAAUGAGGCUCUUAGUAUGCCUAGGAACGCUUAUCGGAUGUUACAGUGCGCGCAUGAGGAUUUUCGGGAAAUCUGAUGAGUGUUAAAUGAUAACGAACUGACACCGUACAAAAUACUGACAACGCCGACAAAUACGAAGUUUAUACGUAUAACUUAUAUUUAUGAAUGUGGUUUUGUGAAAACAUCACCAAAACGCCCUUGUGUAACACCUCGAAAAAUUUCGUCCAAUAAUGUCUUGACACGUGUCAUAAGGUUCCGUUAUGUGAAAACAUACUUUAAAGGGACUAAAAGUGACAAACCGUGAAAACUAUGGAACGUAAGGGUCCAAAGUGUCGACAAUGGAGAAAUAGGCUCUAUGAUAACCCCACAUAAUGUUUAUAACCUUUAACGGAUGGUUCAUGGAUCAUACGACGCGGAAAUUGCCUAAAAGUGAAGUAUUGUAAACUAUAGGGGCCAAAAGUGUCAACAUGUUUAAUUUAUACCUCUGAGUGAACUUUUGGCAGACCCGAAGCUUUGUAUAGCUAAAAUAUACUCACUAGAAUAUGUGGUUAAAAUUUCAUGAAGUUUCGUCAGCGUAUGAGAAAGUUAUGGCCAAAACCGUACUUAAGGGACUAGAAGCGUCAACGUCGAAUUCAGGGCUUUUCGGUUGAGCGCAAAGUUAUCCGAGAGCAUUACCAUGUAGGUAAAAGUCCUAAGGUUCUUAAAAACCAAGUUUGGGGGUUUACGGGUCGAGAAAAGUAGCCGAAACAUCACGUACAAGCACAGGGACCAUUUCUGCCAAAUUGGAAACAAGUUUGGCUGAUCAGAAGGGUCAGGCGACCCGCCUGGACAUGCCCAGGCGGGCCGCGUGGGACUGCCAGCGACCAGAAAUUCGUUUUGGGUUGAUUUGGGUCCGAAUUUGAGUUGAAAACAGUUGUCUCUUGCCUCCUUUUGCACCAAUAGCAACCCUUGCAUGCCUACACCAACAGUACACCUCAAGAAUCAGCUUUAAAUCAGUUCUUGCAACCAUUUUUGAUCAUUUUCAAUUGGGAACAAGAACACAUUCUCACAAGAGCUCUCAAGAACUCUCAAGGCAAGCCUUCUGGAGGAAUUCUGAUCAACAAGGCCGACUCCUAGUGACCAUUUAACAUCUAUAGGACUCUUUUAAACCUUCUGGAAUUCUCGUUGAUUGAGUCUAUGCUUAGCCUGAAGCCCGGUAAAAGCUAUCACCACUUAUCGUUUGUGACUUAUACUUGCUCAGGUACUAUACGGAAAUAGGCUGGCUGUUUCCUAGAGAGCGUCCACAAUAGUCUCGCAAACUCGGACGACAUUUAUCUGUUGAACUAUUAUUUUAUCUUAUUUUAUUGAUCCGCCUGUGGAUCCAUUUCAACUACUGUGAUAUUUAUUAUUACGCUUUAUUUAAAAGUUGAAAUGU